GACGAACGCUGGCGGCGUGCUUAACACAUGCAAGUCGAACGGAAAGGCCCUGCUUUUGUGGGGUGCUCGAGUGGCGAACGGGUGAGUAACACGUGAGUAACCUGUCCUUGACUUUGGGAUAACUUCAGGAAACUGGGGCUCUUACCGCAUAGGAGCUCCUGCUGCAUGGUGGGGGUUGGUAAGUUUCGGCGGUUGGGGAUGGACUAGCGGCUUAUCAGCUUGUUGGUGGGGUAGUGGAUUACCAAGGCUUUGACGGGUAGCCGGCCUGGGAGGGUGACCGGCCACAUUGGGACUGAGAUACGGCCCAGACUCGUACGGGAGGCAGCAGUGGAGAAUAUCGCACAAUGGGCGGAAGCCUGAUGCAGCAACGCCGCGUGCGGGAUGACGGGCUUCGGGUUGUAAACCGCUUUCGCCUGUGACGAAGCGUGAGUGACGGUAAUGGGUAAAGAAGCACCGGCUAACUACGUG
rnacentral:rRNA from 1 species